AUUGAACGCUAGCGGGAUGCUUUACACAUGCAAGUCGAACGAGUGGCGGACGGGUGAGUAAUAUCUCGGAACGUGCCCAGUCGCGGGGGAUAACUACUCGAAAGAGUGGCUAAUACCGCCUACUAUUGGAGCGGCCCAUAUCGGAUUAGCUAGUUGGUGGGGUAAAGGCUCACCAAGGCAACGAUCCGUAGCUGGUUUGAGCGGACGACCAGCCACACUGGGACUGAGACACGGCCCAGACUCCUACGGGAGGCAGCAGUGGGGAAUGUUGGACAAUGGGGGAAACCCUGAUCCAGCCAUCCCGCGUGUAUGAGAAGGCCUUCGGGUUGUAAAGUACUUUUGGCAGAGAAGCGGUAUCUAACCAGAAAGCCACGGCUAACUACGUGCCAGCAGCCGCGGUAAUAC
rnacentral:rRNA from 1 species